AAAGGGGCUCUUUGUUUCCCUUAGAGAGAUCUGGUCGCAUUCUGGAAACAUGAAAUAAGUCGUAAUUUGACCUAUAGACAAGACAACGAGUGACGAAUUCAUUAUAUUUGGUACUGAUAGCGCGCCGAUAGGCACACAGAUCUUGAAAAAUGCCCCUGUGACUGAUUUUGCAAGAAGACCUUCACAAGGGAGCCCCAAAUUUCCUACAGCCGAGGAGAAGGAAAAGAAUUCAUCUUAUCCAUUGAUUCUCAAUUGAAAGAUAGAGAUUCCAAUUCAAAAUGUAACAAUUUGUAAUAAUAUUUAUCUUAAGAAAGUUACAUCGUUGCGGAAGGGGACUAAGCCUUGCUAGACCCAGACUCAACAACAUUCUUGGAGUUGCUCGGAUCAGCCAUUUUGAAAAUGGCGGGUAUUGUGGAUGUCAGUGAGUAAUGGGACAUUUGAUCGGAAUUGUGUGACAAUAAGAGUAUUCCACGGUUUUUAGAGGUCUAAUGGCUUUAAGUCUCGCUAAUAAUUACCUUGAAGUUGUAGAAAUUGUUGUAAAUGAUCGAAAUGAUCGCAGAAAUGAGAACGUCGUGAAGUCGGAGUACGAGUCGGAACACAAGGAACAAGAGAUGGAGGUGGACUCUGGCGGAGGUGAACAAGAAAGCGAACGCCUUCAGCAAUCAAGCGAGGAAAAUAACGUACCAGAUGUAUCAGAGGCGCAUGUGACGCCGUGACGCUGGCGGUCGCCAGAAAUGUACAAGUUCUUGGAGCGUCAGCAGUGAAUUCCCCAGACGAUUAUUAAAAGAAGUCCUUGAAAACAACCACUAAUGACAUUUCUGCAAAAGAUGAAGAUACCAGGUCACCGAUUAAAUCACCCGAAAAGAUGACGAUGUUCAGCUUAUCAUGUUCUCAGUGCAGCUCAGAAUCUGAGGGGGCCAUCAACAGCUGUGAGAAAAUUUGGGCAAAGCACCUCUAGUCAGAGGUUAUUAUCAUGGAAAUCAUAUAUUCUACAAACAUCUUUUCAAGAUUCACAGACCUGGUGAAAUUCUUGUUUGCAAACUUGAAGGAACUGGGAAAAAACACCUGGAGCUUAUUUUGUCUCUCAUUGUUUUACUCUUCCUGAAGACUUUGAUAUGGAAUGACAGCAAUGGAAACCAGCUGCAGAAACUACCCAACCAAGGAAAAGAGGUGUUAGAUGUUCUUCCCUUUGCUGCUAAUGGAAAUGACUAUUUGAGCAGAAAUUAAGUGUUAACAAAUGGAUGAAUGUACAAAAAUUUAUUGACAAAUUCUGCAUUGCUCUAAGUUAGUACCUAUUUUUUAUAUACAAAUGUGUUGUAUUAAAUAGUAUAUAACAUGCAAGUAAAAAGUGGUUUUCUCACCCACUGAUUGGCUAGUUUGGAAAAGAACAGCAAGUACUAUUUAGCACCAAGUGACCAAUGAGACAAAAUUGCACAUCAAGAAUCUAAUUUCUGACCAUUUUUUGGUAUACUAGAGAAAUAAACUAAUUUCUGGUA